rnacentral:rRNA from 1 species
UUGCACAGGUGCUGCAUGGCUGUCGUCAGCUCGUGUCGUGAGAUGUUCGGUUAAGUCCGCUAACGAGCGCAACCCUCACUGUGUGUUAUAUGUGUCACACGGGACUGCCGGUUUUAAGCCGGAGGAAGGUGGGGAUGACGUCAAGUCAGCAUGGCCUUUAUAUCCUGGGCUACACACACGCUACAAUGGUCGGUACAAUAGGUUGCCAAGCCGCGAGGCGGAGCCAAUCCAUAAAAGCCGGCCUCAGUUCAGAUUGUAGGCUGCAACUCGCCUGCAUGAAGAUGGAGUUGCUAGUAACCGCAGGUCAGCAAUACUGCGGUGAAUACGUUCCCGGGUCCUU